UCUGAUCUCCCUUCUCCUUCUUCUCAGGGUACGGCGGGUACAGGCUGGCAAACGGCAGCACAGGGUGUUCAGGGAGAGUGGAGCUUCGCCACGGAGGCUCCUGGGGAACCCUCUGUGACUCCCAGUGGGAUUUACAGGCUGCCCACACCCUCUGCCAGCAGUUUGACUGUGGAUUCGCCCUGUCGAUUCCAGCAGGGCAGCUCUUUGGCACAGGAGACGGGCCUGUCUGGAAUGGCAAGUUUGGCUGUGAGAGGAAUGAAUCCCGGCUGAGGGACUGUCCUGUUACUGCGCUGGGCACAACUGAGUGUCCCCCUGGGAGUGAAGCCAGCGUGGUGUGUUCAGGGUGCCUGGGCGGCAGGUUAGUGAACGGCACCGAGUGCUCCGGGAGAGUGGAGAUCCAACAUGGAGACACAUGGGGAAGCCUCUGUGCCUCCCACUGGGAUUUGCAAGAUGCCAACGUCCUCUGCCAUCAGCUGAACUGUGGAUACGCCGAGUCGAUCCUGGGAGGAGCCCAUUUUGGGGAAGGGAGCGGAACCGUAUGGAGCGACGCUUUUCAUUGUGAAGGGACUGAACCCUGUCUGUGGGAUUGUUCUCGCAUGGCCCUGGGCAACCCAGCCUGCUCCCCCAGAGACACGGCCAGUGUUAUUUGCUCAGGAAGCAGGCGGAUCAGACUGGUGAAUGGGGCAGGUCGCUGUGCUGGGAGAGUGGAGAUUUAUUACAAUGGCAUCUGGGGGACGGUCUGUGAUGAUUCCUGGGAUCUGUCAGACUCCAAUGUGGUUUGCAAACAACUGGGAUGUGGACGCGCCAUCAAUGCAACUGUCUCUG